UUGGAAAUCUAGCCCAACCACGCACAACGUCAUGCCUAAAAAAUUCACCCGAUCCUCAAACUAAAGCAUUAUCAAAACUUAGUAUAGGCGAUAGAAAAGACCAACCCACUGGCGCAAUAGAAAGCUGUACCGUAAGGGAAAGAUGAAAUAAUAAUGAAAACACAAGCAAUAAACAGCAAAGAUAAACCCUUGUACCUUUUGCAUCAUGAUUUAGCAAGAACAACCAAGCAAAACGAACUUAAGCUUGCCCCCCCGAAACCCAAGCGAGCUACUUACAGGCAGCUAUUCUGAGCGAACCCGUCUCUGUUGCAAAAGAGUGGGAUGACCUGUUAGUAGAGGUGAAAAGCCAACCGAGCUGGGUGAUAGCUGGUUGCCCGUGAAAUGAAUCUAAGUUCUACCUUAACCUUCUCCCCAUCAAUGAACUUCAACCAAUCACCCCUUAACGUGGAAAGUUAAGAGCAAUUUAAAGGAGGUACAGCCCCUUUAAAAAAGGAUACAACCUCCCCUAGCGGAUAAAUCUUCCCCAACCUGCAACCCUGUAGGCCUUAAAGCAGGCCAUCAACAAAGAAUGCGUCAAAGCUCACUACCCAAAAGAUCCAGAAACCUCAUGACUCCCUUACCCCUAACGGGCUAACCUAUACCUAUAGGAGAAUUAAUGCUAAAAUAAGUAACUUGGAGCUCCUCUCCUCUCAAGCGCAAACUUACAUUUUUCCCCAAUUAUUAACAGACCAACUAAUACUGCAAUUCUAACAAGCCCAAAUAUUAACCUUACCCUGUUACCCCAACAUUGGAGCGCCCAUUAAGAAAGAUUAAAAUCUGUAGAAGGAACUAGGCAAACCCAGGGCCCGACUGUUUACCAAAAACAUAGCCUUCAGCCGACCAAGUAUUGAAGGUGAUGCCUGCCCAGUGACAUACGUUCAACGGCCGCGGUAUCCUAACCGUGCGAAGGUAGCGCAAUCAAUUGUCCCAUAAAUCGAGACUUGUAUGAAUGGCUAAACGAGGUCCUAACUGUCUCCCACAGAUAAUCAGUGAAAUUGAUCCCCUUGUGCAAAAGCAAGAAUAACCACAUAAGACGAGAAGACCCUGUGGAACUUUAAAAUCAUCGGCCACUCCACAAACAACCCUAAACCUACUAGGACCACCACUCUCAAAUACUGGCCCACAUUUUUCGGUUGGGGCGACCUUGGAGAAAAACAAAUCCUCCAAAAACAAGACCACACCUCUUAACCUAGAGCAACACCUCCACGUGCUAACAGCAACCAGACCCAAUACAAUUGAUUAAUGAACCAAGCUACCCCAGGGAUAACAGCGCAAUCUCCUUCAAGAGCCCAUAUCGACAAGGAGGUUUACGACCUCGAUGUUGGAUCAGGACAUCCUAAUGGUGCAGCCGCUAUUAAGGGUUCGUUUGUUCAACGAUUAACAGUCCUACGUGAUCUGAGUUCAGACCGGAGCAAUCCAGGUCGGUUUCUAUCUAUGACGAACUUCCCCCAGUACGAAAGGACCGGGAAAGUGAGGCCAAUGCCACAAGUACGCCUCCCCCAUAAGUAAUGAACCCAACUAAAUUACCAAGAGGACGCCCUAACCCCCAUGCCCUAGAUAAGGGCCAA